UUUACGUUUCAACUGAUUUUUGCUCAUUUCAGCGCAUGCAGAUAGUCUCAGUUAAGUGGAAACAUUUGGCAUUGUUGGCCUUAAAACCCCAAUAAGUAACGCUUUCUUGAUGUGUUACAACGCCAAAUAAUCGCAAGUUCAGAUAUAAGGAUUAAUGAGUUCCGCACCCGAUAGUGAACGGCUUGUGGAUUUGGUGGGAUCGAUUGCCGAUGUGUGGUUUUAUAGAAAUUCGUCAUUAGUAUUGCUUGAUGUGGGUAUAGAAUUUUUUUUGCAAUCGACAACAUGGCAUUUAAAUGAUUUGAAGCUGCAAAAGUGCAUCAUUUAAGGACUCUUUUUCCAAGCCUCGAAGAAACAAAAAUACAUUAUGAAAUAAAGAUUUUUUAAUUGCAUACAACUUAUGAGGCAUAAAACUUGUUGUUGUUAUAUUAAAUAAAUUGAGAAUUAAACAAAUUUUGAGUAA